rnacentral:rRNA from 1 species
UACGUAGGGGGCGAGCGUUGUCCGGAUUUACUGGGCGUAAAGCGCGCGUAGGCGGAAGUGUAAGUGUGGCCUGAAAGCCCCCGGCUCAACCGGGGAGGGUGGCUGCAAACUGCGCUUCUUGAGGGCGAUAGAGGAGUGUGGAAUUCCUGGUGUAGCGGUGAAAUGCGCAGAUAUCAGGAAGAACACCCGUGGCGAAGGCGGCUCUCUGGGAGCGGUAC